GCUCCUGCCUCCCAGUGGCCUCUCUAGGCCAAGCCCGUGCCUCAGGGCAGCCUUUCCAGGCCUAGUGUUUGCUGCUUUGCAUCCUCUUCAGGCUCUGGACUUCCUCCAGUCGGCCUCUCCAGGCCCAGCUCUUCCUCCCGGCGGCCUCUCCAGGCCCAGACUGUCAUCAAGUCGGCCUGUCCAGGGCCAGCUCCUGCCUCGCAAAGGCCUGCACAGGCCCACCAUCGGCCUCACAGCGGACUCUCCACGCCCAGCUACCUCUCGCCUCACUGCGGCCUCCCGAGUCCAAAACUCCUGCCUCUCCGCCACUUCCGCAGGCCCAGCUCCCAACUGCCAGUGGCCUCUUCAGGCCCAUGGGGCUCAUUCCUCAAAACGGCCUUUCCAGGCCCAGUUUUUCCCUUCCGGCGGCCUCUCCGGGCCCAGAACCUCCUCAAGUCGGCCUCUAAAGACCCACUUGCAGCCUCCCGGCGUCCUCUCCGGGCCCAGCUCUUCCUCCCGGCUGCGUCUCCAGGCCCGACUGCUGCCUCCCAACAACCUCUUUGGACUCAGCGCCUGCCCAUCUCCUGGCGGCCUUGGUCGGCCCACAGCUUCCUCAAGCCAAGCUCCCCAGGCCCAGGUCAGGCCUCACGGUGGCCUCCAGGAUCACCUCCUGCCCUCCAAUGGCGUCUCCAGACCCGAAAUGGUCUCCGGUCGGUGGGCUCCUCCACGCCCAGCUUGGGCCUCCCGGCGACCUCUGCAGGCCCAAGUCGUCCUGAAGUCGGCGUCGCCCGGCCCUGCCUCCCAGCAAGUAAGCAAGCUCUUUGGGCUCAACUCCUGCCCAGCUCCCAGCCGCCUUUGUAGGCCCCGAACUUUCUCGAGCCAAGCUCUUCGCGCCCGCCUACUGCCUCUCGGUGGCCUGUACAGGCCCAGCUCUGGCGGUAGAACAGCCUCUGCAGGUCCCGCUCUUGCCUCCCAGGGGCCUCUCCAGGCCCAGCUCUCGCCCCCACGGCGGCCUCCCGGCAGCCCGCGUGCGGCCCAGUUCCUCCCUCACGGUGGCCUGUUGAUGCCCAACUCAUGCCGCUGGCACCCUGCGCAGAGGCGUGAGUCCCUGCCUCACACUGGCUCCUCCCACGCUGAGAGAGGUCGGCGUGAGCCCCUUGCCUCACACCGGCCCCUCCCACACUGACCCCUUGGCUCACACCGGCCCCUCCCACGCAGAGAGAGGUCAGCGUGAGCCCCUUGCCUCACACCGGCCCCUCUCACGCCGAGAGAGGUCAGCGUGAGCCCCUUGCCUCUCACCGGCCCCUCCCACGCCGAGAGAGGUCAGCGUGAGCCCUUGCCUCACACCGGCCCCUCCCACGCCGAGAGAGGUCAGCGUGAGCCCCUGCCUCAACAGGCCACCGUGAGGGAGGAGCAGGCCGUACGCAGGCUGCCGGGAGCAGGCAGGGACUUGGCCGCGGGAGGCCGUGGUGGGGCGAGAGCUGGGCCUGGAGACGCCCCUGGGAGGCAACAGCGGGGCCUGCUGACGCUCUUCUGCUGCCAGAGCUGGGACUGUACAGGCCACCGGGAGGCAGGAUGUGGGCCUGAAGAGCUUGGCUGCAGAAACUUCGGGGUCUACAAACGCUGGAGGGAGCUGAGCCAAAAGAGCUUGCCUGCUGGGAGGCAGGAGCUGAGCCGAGAGAUGCAGCCAGGAGGAACAGCUGGGCCUGCAGAGGCCGCCAUGAGGGAGGCAGAGGCCGGGCCUCCUCAAGUCGGCCUCUCCAGACCCACAUGCAGCCUCCCGGCGUCCUCUCCGGGCCCAGCUCUUCCUCCCGGCUGCGUCUCCAGGCCCGACUGCUGCCUCCCAACAACCUCUUUGGACUCAGCGCCUGCCCAUCUCCUGGCGGCCUUGGUCGGCCCACAGCUUCCUCAAGCCAAGCUCCCCAGGCCCAGGUCAGGCCUCACGGUGGCCUCUCCAGGAUCAGCUCCUGCCCUCCGAUGGCGUCUCCAGGCCCCAAACGGUCUCCGGUCGGUGGGCUCCUCCGCGCCCAGCUUGGGCCUCCUGGCGACCUCUGCAGGCCCAAGUCGUCCUGAAGUCAGCGUCUCCCGGCCCUGCCUCCCAGCAAGUAAGCAAGCUCUUUGGGCUCAACUCCUGCCCAGCUCAAAACCGCCUUUGUAGGCCCCGAACUUUCUCGAGCCAAGCUCUUCGCGCCCGCCUACUGCCUCUCGGUGGCC
rnacentral:lncRNA from 1 species